GAGCAUGUGCUUAAUUCGAUGCAACGCAGGACCCUUACUUGGGCUUGACAUGGCGACCCUUCGGGGGGUGGAAGUAAAGCUCCCUUUACGAUCACAGGUGCUGCAUGGCUGUCGUCAGUUCGUCCCGUGAGGUGUUUGGUUAAGUCCAGCAACGAACGCAACCCUUGUGGUUAGUUGCCACCGGCGGUGAUGAGCCGUCGAGCACUCUAGCCAGACUGCCCGUACAAGCGGGAGGAAGGUGGGGAUGACGUCAAGUCAGUAUGGCCCUUACGCCGUGGGCUGCACACGUGCUACAAUGGUCGGUUCAAUGGGAUGCAAGACCGCGAGGUGGAGCAAAUCCAGAAAGCCGGCCUCAGUUCGGAUUGGAGUCUGCAACUCGACUCCAUGAAGUUGGAUUCGCUAGUAACGGCGUAUCAGCUACGACGCCGUGAAUACGUUCCCGGGCCUUGUACACACCGCCCGUCACAUCAUGAAAGCCGUCUGGACCCGAAGUCGCUGAGCAAACCUUCACAGGAUGCAGGUGCCGAAGGUCUGGGUGGUGAUUGGGAUG
rnacentral:rRNA from 1 species